ensembl:lncRNA
CUUAUAUCUUAUAUCUUAUAUCCUCCUCUCAUAAAUGUUUACAUGCACCUGAGUGUGUAUUUGUCCUCUUUGGUGCAUUCUACCUUGACCUCUGAGACGCCUCAAAGGUCAGUAUGCACAUCAGGUGAAUGCUACUGAGUUUAUGCUCAUUCUCUGAGACGCCUCAAUGGUCAGUAUGCACAUCCGGCGAGUGCUACUGACUUUAUGCUCAUUCUCCGAAGCGCUCCACUAAAACCCUUAGCUCUGAGUCUGCUGUGACUCAUUGAGAUCACGGCCAGUAUACUCACUUAUCAUGUUGUAAUGAGACGAUUAAUAGCCAUGAUUCAGAUAAACUGCAUAUUCAUCUGGCCAUAUAAGGCCCUGUGCAGAGUGCCUAAGCCCUGACUACACACCUCAUGUCUGCACUGCCAUUGAUGAGUUGGAUGAGAUGGACAGCAGAUCAUA